CCUGAGAAACCCAAAAGAUCGAAUGGGGAGAUUCAUCGUCAGCGAUGCCGGUACCUGUGCGGUUCGCGAUGCUCGUUACUUCGGUAACGCGGCACGCGUCCGCAUGUUUUUCAUCGGCUGGCAUCGUCAACGUGCACUUCUCCCCUAGUAGGACGUCGCGACCCGUUGGGUGUCGGUCUACGGCUCGGGUGGGUGUCUGUCUCGUGUGCGCCUCGCGGCGUUACUGCGGAACAAAUCCCCGGCUGCCCGACCGGCUGCCCGGCGGUACUCGCAAGGUAUCUGGCCGCAAAUAUUCGAACUGCGUCCGGCCCGUCGCAAGCUAGGAAAGUGUUUCCCGAAUGUGCGGAUCUAACGCCGUCAUCGGGCCUUGCCGGCUGUUGGUUGACGGUGUCCUAGGACUGGCUGUAAAAAUUAUGAUACCGGUCGGCGACGCUACUGCUUUGGGUACUUUCAGGA
rnacentral:rRNA from 1 species